rnacentral:rRNA from 1 species
CAACCUGGGAACUGCGCUUGUGACUGCAAGGCUAGAGUACGGCAGAGGGGGGUGGAAUUCCACGUGUAGCAGUGAAAUGCGUAGAGAUGUGGAGGAACACCGAUGGCGAAGGCAGCCCCCUGGGCCGAUACUGACGCUCAUGCACGAAAGCGUGGGUAGCAAACAGGAUUAGAUACCCUGGUAGUCCACGCCCUAAACGAUGUCAACUAGGUGUUGGGUGGGUAAAACCAUUUAGUACCGUAGCUAACGCGUGAAGUUGACCGCCUGGGGAGUACGGCCGCAAGGUUAAAACUCAAAGGAAUUGACGGGGACCCGCACAAGCGGUGGAUGAUGUGGAUUAAUUCGAUGCAACGCGAACAACCUUACCUACCCUUGACAUGUCCGGAAGCCUGAAGAGAUUUGGGUGUGCAAGAAAGGGAACCGGAACACAGGUGCUGCAUGGCUGUCGUCAGCUCGUGUCGUGAGAUGUUGGGUUAAGUCCCGCAACGAGCGCAACCCUUGUCGUUAAUUGCCAUCAUUUAGUUGGGCACUUUAACGAGACUGCCGGUGACAAACCGGAGGAAGGUGGGGAUGACGUCAAGUCCUCAUGGAACUUAUGGGUAGGGCUUCACACGUCAUACAAUGGUCGGUACAGAGCGUUGCCAAGCCGCGAGGUGGAGCCAAUCCCAGAAAGCCGAUCGUAGUCCGGAUCGCAGGCUGCAACUCGCCUGCGUGAAGUCGGAAUCGCUAGUAAUCGCGGAUCAGCAUGUCGCGGUGAAUACGUUCCCGGGUCUUGUACACACCGCCCGUCACACCAUGGGAGCGGGUUCCGCCAGAAGUAGGUAGCCUAACGGCAAGGGCAGCGCUUACCACGGCGGGGUUCGUGACUGGGGUGAAGUCGUAACAAGGUAA